rnacentral:rRNA from 1 species
GUACACUCCUGCGGGAGGCAGCAGUGAGGAAUAUUGGACAAUGGGUGGAAGCCUGAUCCAGCCAUCCCGCGUGCAGGAAGACGGCCCUAUGGGUUGUAAACUGCUUUUAUCUGGGGAUAAACCUACUUACGUGUAAGUAGCUGAAGGUACCAGAAGAAUAAGCACCGGCUAACUCCGUGCCAGCAGCCGCGGUAAUACGGAGGGUGCAAGCGUUAUCCGGAUUUAUUGGGUUUAAAGGGUCCGUAGGCGGACUGAUAAGUCAGUGGUGAAAUCCGACAGCUUAACUGUCGAACUGCCAUUGAUACUGUUAGUCUUGAGUAAGGUUGAAGUGGCUGGAAUAAGUAGUGUAGCGGUGAAAUGCAUAGAUAUUACUUAGAACACCAAUUGCGAAGGCAGGUCACUAAGUCUUAACUGACGCUGAUGGACGAAAGCGUGGGGAGCGAACAGGAUUAGAAACCCUGGUAGUCCCAUGA